rnacentral:misc_RNA from 1 species
UACAGAGGGUGCAAGCGUUAAUCGGAAUUACUAGGCGUAAAGCGCGCGUAGGCGGCUAAGUAAGCCGGUUGUGAAAGCCCCGGGCUCAACCUGGGAAUGGCAUCCGGAACUGUAUAGCUAGAGUGCAGAAGAGGAAGGUAGAAUUCCCGGUGUAGCGGUGAAAUGCGUAGAGAUCGGGAGGAAUACCAGUGGCGAAGGCGGGCUUCUGGUCCGACACUGACGCUGAGGUGCGAAAGCGUGGGUAGCAAACAGG